rnacentral:lncRNA from 10 species
CCAGAAGCUAGGAGAGAGGCAUGGAAUAAUUCUCCUUCAGAGCCCCCAGAAAGAACCAAACCUGUGGACACCUUGAUUUUUAGCCCCUAGAACUAGGAGUAUGACAACUGGGACUUGUCUUAUCAUUUAUCCACAGUACGUGGGAAAAUGGCCGGCACAUGGGACUUCAAUAAAUAUGUGCUCAAUGGUGAACCACCUAGUGCUUUAUAUUUUACAAAUGUCUGCAGCAGUUUUUUGUCAUCUUUAUGGAAAACAAGGCACGUCUUAAAGUCGUUCAAGUCCUUCACUUUUUCACACUGAGGUCUGUCUUCAUAUCCACUUAUCUUUCAAGUCUAUGAAACCCCUUAUAAAAACUUUCCUUUGAAAUAUUUUAAAA